CGUGCCGUAGCUAACGCAUUAAGUGCCCCGCCUGGGGAGUACGGCCGCAAGGCUAAAACUCAAAGGAAUUGACGGGGGCCCGCACAAGCGGCGGAGCAUGCGGAUUAAUUCGAUGCAACGCGAAGAACCUUACCUGGGUUUGACAUAUGCCGGUAGCAGCCAGAGAUGGUUGUGCCUUUUGGGCCGGUUUACAGGUGGUGCGUGGCUGUCGUCAGCUCGUGUCGUGAGAUGUUGGGUUAAGUCCCGCAACGAGCGCAACCCUUGUCCUAUGUUGCCAGCGGUUCGGCCGGGAACUCAUAGGAGACUGCCGGGGUCAACUCGGAGGAAGGUGGGGAUGACGUCAGGUCAUCAUGCCCCUUAUGUCCAGGGCUUCACGCAUGCUACAAUGGCUGGUACAGAGGGUUGCGAUGCCGUGAGGUGGAGCGAAUCCCUUAAAGCCAGUCUCAGUUCGGAUUGGGGUCUGCAACUCGACCCCAUGAAGUCGGAGUCGCUAGUAAUCGCAGAUCAGCAUUGCUGCGGUGAAUACGUUCCCGGGCCUUGUACACACCGCCCGUCAAGUCAUGAAAGUCGGUAACACCCGAAGCCGGUGGCCUAACCUUUUUGGGGGGAGCUGUCUAAGGUGGGAUCGGUGAUUAGGACUAAGUCGUAACAAGGUAACC
rnacentral:rRNA from 1 species